rnacentral:lncRNA from 1 species
GGGUAGCGCAGCGCAACGCCGGGAAGGAGAAGUUUCCGCUGCUGCUGCCUCUGCUUCGCUCGCGCUCUCCCUCCUGCCUGUGGAAAGUGGGCAGCGCAGGCUGCCGAAAGGAGCCGGGUGGAAAGUGCCCGAGGAGAGGUGGCGCCUGCGAAGUUCAGGUAAGUGGGGUAACUAGGGAGGGAGGUGGGUGCUGGGGCUUCGGGGUAGGGCUUGGUUUCCGGCUGGGUGUUUUAAGGUUGGGCGCAGUUAAGGGAAAGCAUUUUAAAAAAGUGGGGGGGACAGCAUUUCUUGGUUUCACUUUCAGCGUGCGGCAUAGAGCAUCCCCCCCCCCCUUCCCGGCCAAGUCAAUUAAAAGGCGCAUCCGUACUCAGGGAAGAAUUUAAGUCGUCAAAGCCAAGUGUAGAUGUUCGCCGAGGAACGAACGGAAGCAAGUUCGUACCAGGUCAUUGACAGUCCUCGAUCCCCCCCCCCCCCAAGCUCUGGGAAAGGGCUCUGAACUUCCAUUUAACUUUUUUCCUCCCUUUCUUAAUAUUAUUUCGAAACGCUUCGUUGCCUAAUGAAGUUGCAGCUGAUCCAUUGAGGAGGAAAGAAGCAGUUUCACUUUUGUCGCAAAUUAGCCGGUCGAUUAAUUGGUCGGCCAGGUUUCCACACUCGCUCCGCUUCAGGGUGUGCAAGGAAAGGAAUGGGGCUUCUUGCUUCGUUUUGGUUUGCGAUCAGUAUAACUUGAUUCUGAGCAGACUUGCAAGAAGGGGUUGCGCUGUUCGGUUGCCUGUGCUUGUAUAAACACCAAGUGGGGUGGCGGAGGAUGUAAUUCAUAUCCAGUUAAGUCAGUGGGUAAAAGUGGCGGCGGGGAAUUGUCCUCCAGGUGGAAACGGAACUUCCUUAUUGCUCCAACUUCUACAGCAAGAUCUCUUCCUUUCUUUUCUGUGAAUUAGCUGGGGGCUCUGAAUCCAUUUUUCACUGGACUGACCUGUUUCUUCCAAGUUGACAUGAUGUUUUGUGUUGGGAAAGUGCAGAACAGAAUUAAGCAAAAAGUGGCCAAAUGGAGAGACUUCAAAACGCCUGCAGCUGACGCCUUGUCCUGUGUUGUAGAAAGUCCCUCUGGUGUGGUCUGCAUCUGUCUUGCACAUGUUGGAAUGGCCCAGGGGUGUUGAAACAGAAGCUUUCUGGGCUUAUUUUUGUAUGUGUUGAAAUAUGGGAAGUAGUGUGGCCGAACAUAUUGGGUCUUAGGGAGUGCUGGUGGUGACUCUGCUGCUGAUCUAUUUCUUGUGUAUUUCAGAUCCAUGUUGGUAGGGGCAGGGGUGGUGGUAGUGGGGUGUCUGUUGCUGAUAUCUUAGAAGAGCCUGCCUGCCUGUGGUUGGUCUAAUUCUCCAGAAGCAGGUGAGCCACUGACUAACGCACAUUGUGCUGCUAGUGCCCCCACUGUGCGUGUGACAGCGGCUAACCUGCUUUUCGGUCAUCACUAUUUCUCCUUCUGCUACCUCCUGCCCCUUCCCCAAGAAGAAACAACGCAUUGGAGCCUGGUGACUUCUUCCAGUCUGAAUACAGUUGGAGAAAAGACUCCUUCAAGAGCUGGACAUCAACCACUAACAAGCUUGCACAUCCAUGGCUGUUGCAGAAGAGCAGAGUUGACGUGUGCACACUCAUGGGCAUGUAUGUUCCUUCCUUUGAGGAUGUAUGGAAGACUCAAAAUAAAAUGUGUUGGAUGUGCUAUUAAAUAGGUUGUGCUUUCCCUCGGGAAGGCGUGCAAUUGGCAAAGACUACUUGGCUUGGACUCUCUUGGGUUUUCCCAUAAAAUCAAUGAAGUGGAAUGCAUACAGAAUGAAGCAGAGAGCUGUGUGGGUAAAUGUAUGAUGGUCAGUCUAAGGGAUUGAACACCCUUGCCAAAAUAAAAUAAAAUUAUACACUUCUAAAAAGAAUCUUCCUCCUGUCACGGUUUAGUAAUGAGUGAGUGAGUCAGGCAGUUGCGAAAUUACAAGUGUGAGGGGCGCUCUCUGAUCUUCUGAGCAUCAUUUGCAACCAUUCUCCCCCCUUCCUCUGAGGUCUUUGUGGUUUCUUGCUCCUUUCUCCACUUACUUGUCCUGUAGGUGCAGAUUAGGACAGGACAAGGGGUUAAGCAAUGGCCUGUAAUCUCAGACACACGGACCACUUAAAAGUCCUUGGCACAUGAGACCACCGCAUUGCUGAAGCUGAUCUGAUCUAGGUCAGAUGGAUGAGUGACCCUCUCCCACAGAGCUAUCUGUGUGCCACCUUGAAUUCCAUAAUGGACGAAAGGCAGGAUAUAAAUGUAGGAAAACAAACACUUACAAGCCUCUCUCCUGCAUGAAAGGCAGAAAUGCAGUUUUAUGUGCACUGUCAGGGUUUUAAACUCAUUGGUCAUGCAGGAAAGUAUAUUUACAACUGCAUUUCAGGCUUCUUUCAUUUUCAUGAAACCUGCGAAGAGGUUUUCUACCUGAAGUGCUUUUUUUUGUUUUUCAAUCUGCCAUUUCACAUUUUUUACAUUUUCCCUGCAGAAAAGUGAUGAGAGGAAAAGCUUUUUCAAUUUCACCAAUAUUGGGAACAGCUUCACCCACUCUUCCUUUCCCUGCUACUCCAUAGCUGCUGCUGCUGCUUCAAGAAAGAGAAGAGGGGAGUUUCCCCUUCAAAAGGGCAUGGGGAAUGCACACAGUGAUCCCCCCCCCCGCCGGAAACUGUCAAGGCCCUGUUUCUCUGGAGAGCAGAGAAAAGGACAGUAAAGAAAAUAGUUGAGCAAGCUAGGAGGAUAUCUGUGGGGUUGCAUCAUAGUCUAAACACAGAGCAAGGUGGAGUAGGCAAAUGCCCUUGGGGGUGUCUUCUCCCACGGCACCUGGGAUGGUUAAGGUAUAACAUUUAAAGAGGUGAAAACACAACCUGUGAAUAAUGAAAAUGUGGCAUUAACAGGUGACUAUCAUUUUACCAUUUGUGUCCAGUAGAAGGACUCUAGGAUGGCCAAAUUAUUACUUUUUUAUGUCUGCUUGAAAUAAUUUUGCUUGAAGGAAUGGUUAAAAUUUUCUUGUAGGUCAUUCUGUUCAUGAUGUAAAAACUGCCAGAUUACCGUGGUUUUGUAUCACUUCUGUUGGUUCUGUCUAACACUAGUUUUAUGUGCAAUGUUGUACAAUUAUUAUUCCAUUCCUCCUCAUCACAAUCUUAUUAAGCAGGUCAUUGCGCUCCUGCUGCCCAACCAAAAUUGUGAGGGAGAUACUCUUGGCAGUGAUACUUAAGGAAUCCAUGGUGACAACUGGAAUUUGGACCCAAAUUUCCCUAGGUAGUCAAGCAAUCCACUGUGUUGCAUUGGCUCAUUGUUCAGAUGUGUUUAUUUUCACAGCGAGGUUCCAGGAAAAUGAAGGUGUAGUUACUGACAAAGCAGUAUGCAAACACUAAAGGAGAUGCUAUAUAUGCCUCCCCAGAUACACAAAUGUGGGACCAUAAAACUGCUUCAAAUAUUAAUUGUUGUUCUAGCCCAAAGAGCUAUGGUAGUGCUCAAUGUCUUGCUAGCAUGAUUUGUGGAAUGUGUGUUGCCAAAAUAUAUAUUAUUUCCUUACAUAUACUUUGCAGCUUCUGAUUGUAACACAGAUCUGCCUGGCCUCUGUAGGGUGGUUAAAAACAUAGUUGCCUUAAUCUAAUUCCAAUGCCCAGACAGAAAGGAAAGUGAUGCUGACAGCUGUUGGUUGAUUAAUGUUCUUGGGUUGUCUUUGGUUUGUGUGCUGUGCUCCUCCAGACUCUGGGAGUGCCCCAGUACACCUUACAAUGUACACCUCAUUGCAGUUCACUGGGUGUCUUUUUCAUCAGAGAGGUUGUGAACUAAGUAAGCUAGAGGGAAUUUCCUAGAGAGAUGUGUCUUCUGCAGUACCAACAACAUAGAUGAAAUGGCCAGCUUUGCUUGUUACCAAUUCCCUUGACCACAACACAUAUACUUCUGUCUUAUAGGCAGGCAGGCAGGCACACUCAUCCAGGCAUGCUCCUCAGUUGAUAUACUGGAAGAUCAAAUAGCAUGUGUGAAUGAGCAAUCGAAGACAUGAAAUAAUUUUAUCACCUCAUUUUAAAAGAAGUCAGUGGAACUGGUUUACAUAUUCAGCUGUGAGUAAUCAAGUGAUGUAUGUGAAUGUGAGAACCAGCUUUAGUGAUGAAACCUGGAGAAAUAUUCAUCAUGUAUUAACGUGAUUCUCUAAAUGAAAGUGGAUGACUUCUUCGAACAGAACGGAUCCAUUAGCCACCAACAAUCAACUUACCUACAGUUCGUUGUUUGUUCUCAACUUUACAACUGUGUGUAAAUUACCUAUACGAUACUGCUCAAAAUAAGCAAGAUUUUAUAUAGCAUCACAUUCACUAUAAGGAAGAUUUACUUUUUUCAGGGUACCCCACCAGUAAAUUUCCCAUUGCAGUGGCUCAUGAACUCGUAUGCUUAUCUGUAAAAUGGGAAUAAUUAUGACCUAAUGCAGGUUUGUGGCAAGGCUGAAUAAGAGUUUGUAAAGCAUUAUAUAACAUAAGAAAUUCAUCAUGUAAUCUACUGGAAGGUUGUUGGCAUUGGCAAAUAUUAUUUGUCACUUCAUCUUUGUCUUAUUGUUAAAUCAGUAAACAUUUGCAACCAAAAUGUGUGUGUGUGUGUUACUUUUGGGAUGGAAAUAUGCUUUACUAUGAGCCACAUUUGAUAAUCCUCAGUUACUGAAAAUGAGGAGGGGAUCUAAUUUCAUCAUCUUUUAUAACCUCACUUUACCAUCCAAGUCACUGCAUUUAUACUCCCCUUUCGUUGUGACUUCAUUUGCCAUUUAGCUGACCUGUAGAUCUGUACAGGAACAAUAAGAAAUAUUAGUAUCCUCAUCAAGACUAUGGACUCUAGAGAUCUCAAGAGGACCUUUAAUUCUAAACAAUGCAAACAGUGCACAUUUCUGAUGAGAAAAAUCAAUUUAUUUGUUGUGAACCGCGCCCCCCGCAACAUAAGGCAUGGAUCUUAAAUGGUAACUUUCAGGUAUUUCUGUUUUGAUGAAGAAUGUUAUGAGUUAAAAGUCAAAUUAUCUUAAUUCUUGUUUUGCUACCAGUACAUACAUACUGAGAAUUGAGAUCCAUGGUCAUGCAUGAUUAAAGCAUGUAGCUAUGAAAGCAAAGAUACCAGAAUUCAAAUGCAGGCUACUUAAGCAAAGUAUGAAGGCUCUGCAUUAAAAGAAUAAUAAAAAAAUGUAAGAUCAGACGCUCAAGUGGGGUAAAGUUUUGCUAAAUAUAAAAUAACCAAGCACAUAGGAGAACAAGUCAGCAUAACUUCUCCAAGGGCAAGUCCUGUCUCACAACCGAUUAUAAGUUAUUUGGGAGUUUUAAGUGUACUGAUAGUUGUUUCAGCUUGCAGAGUAUACUUGGACUUUCAAAAAGACUCCUGGGUUAAGCUUAGUUGUGUAAAAAGAUGAGAGGUCCUGUGAUUCAAGGGGACGGAGCAAUUCCCUAUGAGGAAAGCAUUCAGGACCUUUUAGAGAAAAGGCAAGGAAGUGGUGACUUGCAUGCAUGCAUGCAUGCAAGGAAUUGUGCAUGGCUUGGAAAAGUGCAUGAAGAAAAGUCUGCCUCCUCAACACUCUAGAACUCGGGGAUAUCUCAUGAAUUGGAAUUUUGGAAGGUUCAGGACAGAUGAUAGUACCUCUCCAAGCACUGAUGGCCCCCUACUUGGAUGGCUUUAAAAGAAGAUUAGACAAAUUCAUGGAGAUAAGGCUAUCAAUGGCUACUAGCUACAAUGGCUGUGCUCUGCCUCUAGUGUCUGAGGCAGUAAAGUUAUGACUACCAGGAGUCAGAAGCCAUAGGAGGGAAGAGUGCUCUUGUGCCCGGCUCCUGCUUGCUGGUUUCCCACAGGCAUCUGGUUGGCCACCGUGAGAACGGGAUACUGGAUGCAUUGGCCUGACCCAUCAGGCUGUUAUGUUCUGAUGCAUAACAUUAUUCAACUGGAGAAGUAGGCAUGCUGGUACUGUAGUGCUGUAAGAAUUGCCAGUGAAGGUCGUUUAACUUCUUAAGAAUUCUUUUGACUAAGAUAUAGUGGUACCUCGGGUUAAGAACUUAAUUCGUUCUGGAGGUCCGUUCUUAACCUGAAACUGUUCCUAACCUGAGGUACCACUUUAGCUAAUGGGGCCUCCCGCUGCCAGCGCUGUGCGAUUUCUGUUCUCACCCUGAAGCAAAGUUCUUAACCCGAGGUACUAUUUCUGGGUUAGCGGAGUCUGUAACCUGAAGUGUCUGUAACCCGAGCUACCACUGUACUCUGAUGUAUUAUUAUAAUUCCUUUUGGAGAAGGCAGGUUGAGACACCCUUCCCUGCUCCUAAUGUGCGCCAGAGUCUCUUGACUAUGCCAGUGGGAUCCUAGAAGAAUGUAAAUAGCAUUUGGGGCUGAGAGCAGUAUGUUUCUGAAGCACCGGAAGAGCACAUGUUACUCUCACAUCAAUGUAAGCAGAGGCUUACAUAAUGCUUCUUAAAAUCAGUUGGCAGGAAAUUCCACUGGGAUAGAGAACUUGCUCAUCCAGAAACAGUCAGAAUCUUUUGAUACAGAACAAGAGCCACUGAAAAAAUAAUAAGGCGAAUCCUAAACUCUUGUCUCCCUGCUAUUAAGUGUCUCUUGCAUAGGACAUGUGCCCUUCUGGAUUUGUUGGGUUUUGAAGUUACACUGCUUGACUCAUUUGCAGUACCCUAAGCAUGAGACUAUUUGAGAGCAGCUUUGCUUAUCUGGAUGGCCUGGUGUGUGUGGGUGUGUUGACACAAGGCAGCGGCAGAGAUAACAGGCUUGUAUUGUGUGUUGCUGAGUCUUACUUCCCUGAUUGAAAUGCUCUUGUUUAACUUGCUUGCAAGCCAUCUGCCCGAAGAUGAUGAGCCCUCUUGGCUAAAGCAGCCCCUUCUAGUAUAUAAAAAACUCCUGUUUGCACAUCACCUGGAAAGGCGUUGGAGUCAGCCAGAUCUCUUCCUGUACUUUAGACCUUGGAUUUAUUUAACAGGCAAUUCCUGAAAGAAGACUUGGGAAAGCUGGCUGCAAGAAACCCAACAUACAGAAAUUUGCACUGCUGCUACAUAGUCUACCUUUUGAUUUGUCCUACAUUACAAGGGAAGGCCAAGACACACAUUCUUGGCCAGGGGUGGGCGCUCUUUGGUCUUCCAGAUGUUGCGGGACUACAACACCCAUCAUCCCUGCUGGCUGGCUGAGGCUGAUGAAGGCCAACAGCACCUGGAGGGCCACAGAUUCUCCUUUGAUUGUGGCCUCAAUUUUGACUCAGUAUUUUGAGUUCUGGACCUUGCAGAAAUGGCAGGUAUGUAAUACAUGGAGGUGCCCAGCUGGCGAGGGAGGAGGAUUAAGCUGGGUGAGUUGGGAAAGAACUUGUUUCUGCUCUUGAACUUCCAUUAUCAAAUAUUUCUAGCUGCUGCAGGAAGAGCAUACUGGCCACCUCCACAGAAAGAGCAGGCAACAUCAGGCAACCACCACACUUUAUAGCAUGCUUGUUCUCUGUAGGGUUCUUCUCUCCCAUUGGCUAGAUUUCCCUCUGUUAUGUGUAGGGAGAGUUGUUGGCCCUCUCUUCCCCACCCCGCCAUAUCUCCACAUUUUGUUUAGUAAUGCUGGCAUAAUGCGUUGCUCACUACUUCCAUGAAAUGCGCAGCUUGCUGCAUUGUUUACUAGGAAAGCAUUGAGCGCAAUAGAAAGUGACUCUGAAGUCUGCUUGAAUCUGAAAUAAGCUUACCAAUGCUGCUAGGAACUGAUGUUUGCCAUCUUAAAAAACAAAACAAAACAAAAACAACCACACUGGUGACCUUACCCCUCUGGUAUGACUUCAUCAGCUAUUGGAAAUACAACAUACCCACCCAUGUGAUGUUGCUGCUCAACUGUUCUUUGUCUAGCUGGCGGGGGGGAUGCCUGAUGAUGCCCACAAAGAGAUGAUUUGAAAUCCCAGCUUGGACUAUGAAAGUUAAAUUCUACUCUGUGUAAAGAGAGCAGCCCUUUGAUUGUUCAUUAAAAAAAUAAUUAUUUGAAUAAGGAAUGGCUUUUGAAGAGGAGACACCCCCCUCCAUUCCCCAUACUCCCUCCUUCACAUACAUAAAAAUGUCCUCAGGCUCCAUCUGUGUUCUUCCUGGUAUCUUUAGGGCAGCACAGAAGCUAAAAUCAGAUGCUGACUCUGUACAAAUUAUUACGCUUGUAGCAUGAGGGAAUCCAGUUAUGAAAGCAGAAGUAAACUCACCUCCUGCUUUGGCCAUGAUUCCUUCCGAAGGAACCCGUCAGGGGCAAGUUCGUGGCUGCACCCUGCUGUCAGCAAACAGCAUCCUUACAUGCUUUUGUGAAUAAAUCUUGGUUCAUUCCCAAAAGAGAUUUAGGUAAGAUUUAGGGGCGGC